AACCUAGCACACCUGCGGUGUGUACCUGCGGAAGGAUCAUUAAUGAAUCUCGGUACUAGUAAGUACUAGGCCAAUGUUUUGUCCCAACGUGUGAUGUAUAUGGCAUCAUGAGAUUGACUGAAUAAGAUGGGCUUUUAUGGAUACCAAAUUGAUACAACUUUCAGCAACGGAUCU
rnacentral:misc_RNA from 1 species